UGAAAUCGUAAAGGGGAGUAGCAACCGGCCGCCCGUCGGCCGGCCCGCAUUCCGUCACGACGGUGGCAGUCCCACCCGGGAGCGGAUCCAGGCAACACCUCUUGGAAUUGCAAGACCUUUACUCACAGC
rnacentral:misc_RNA from 1 species